rnacentral:SRP_RNA from 1 species
GGGUAAGUGCUGCACGGCCAGCUCCCUCUGAACUCCGCCAGGACCGGAAGGUAGCAACGGUAGGAGGUCGUAGCGGCGCGAUGCGGUUAGCUUACCCCGA